GUUUUUCUUCUACUCUCAGUGUGUUAUAGUACGCUGAGAGUGGGAUGGAAGUUCGGUCAGUAUCUUCACGAUUGGUCCUUGAUGAAUAUUGUCAGAUUCCAAACACGCACUCAAGUUAUAAUUUAGCAUGUAGUUUUGUUGGUUGUAACGUUUUUAUGCAAGCAGGAGACAACAAUUUGCGCAAGUAGUGUCACAAUGUGAACUGACUUAGCUGACAUAUGAGGAUUGAGUUUUAGUUGGUCGAGGAUUUUCGGAUAGGUGCGUAUUUACGGAAGAGAAGGUUGGGUCAGGUUUUGUUAAUCUUGGGUUGGUUAGGGCAACUCGUGGGUGGGGAGGAAAUCGCCGUAAGUGGUUGCAUUCUAUCAUUCUUCUUAUCUCUUACUCUGUUUUACGUUACUUUACGUUAGUAGGUCGUUGGUAUCAACUUGUGACAUUAAAGCUAUGGAGUGGGAUUUGCAAAGUUGCGUAGACUUGCGGAGAUUCGCGCUUCGCCCACUAUGGCGCUGUAGGUUUUUCUGUAUUGCCAACAUAACUGUCUAACGUAAAACAUCAGCCGUCUCUGAUUCACUUAUGUCCCCGAGCGCACAUACGCUAUGUAAAUGCAGUACGUAUGUAAUAUUCGUAUAGUAACUAUGAUAUUUUAUAUAUAGUGUAAUUUCUGAAGAAAGGAGAGCACAACAGAUCUUUCAUUAAAGGAAGUUUUUCAUUUUUAGGAGGUUGUCACCCCUGGGACGUCACACUUUGCUACUCGGCCUAUUCAAGACCUUACCCACAUUGUACGCAUUGCGCACAACGCUAAAGAGUUUUACCAGAGAUUCACACAACGUCAUAUGACCGAUGAUGAGCAGGUUCGAAAUCGCUGCAAUGUUCAACUUUGAUGCGGAAUUGUUAUCGUAUUACCAGCGGAAGUGGCCGAGAGUUCGAAAUUCCGGAAAGAAACUGCAAAGUAGACUGAUACCAUGUCGCAGACGAUGGAACGCGGCACGUCUACUGGUUUGACGGGUGCUUCUGGAACGGCUAUUGAUAUUGUUCACUUCUGGUAUUAAAAAACAAAAAAAAAAAACAAUCCUAACGGUAUUUCAGCUCGUAUACAUCCGGCUACUGUUCAAUCAACUAACAUAUAAAAUUAUUUCCAACGAAAUCGACACUCGUCAAAUUCAAAUAAUCGUUUUGCGCAAUGGUUAUUUGAAAUUCACAAGUGACGAUUGCGUUAAAAAAAAUUUUCUUAUGUACUGUUUCAUUGAACGAUAGUUACACGCGUACGAACUAAAUGCCAUUUGGGUCCUUUUUCAGGUUAGCAAAAGUGAAGAAAUUCGUGGAUUCACAGACGAGGAGGAUCAGCCGAUGUGGGAAUUUUUCAUAAAAAUUGUUGACCAUGUUUUCACACGAACAUCUAAAAUGUCAAUAAAUGUAGGCUGAAAAUUUGAAAGUAACUGAUUGCACAAUUUCAUUUUUUUUCCUUAUAAAUUACAAAAAAACUCUUAUUUUGGCGGAUAAAAAUUAGACACCCCACUUAAGUAUGGCGAUGUUUAGCAUUUUCAUCGAAACCGUUUGAAUUGUUCAACCUUUCAUCCCUAGAUAUAUUCUCUUUUUCAUCUACCCCCCUCAACAUUCAUACCUAAACAUAACCAUUGCAAAUUUUUUUCGAGUAAAUUUCAGCUCGCUUCAAACAAAUAAGAAUCAAGGCCGGUCUGGCUAAUUUCAAAGUAUCAUACUUCAUUUCAAAGCGAGUACCAAGAAAUGUUGGUUAUGUUGGGACAAAGCUUUUCGAGAAGUCGCAGAGCACCUUUGUGAGUGCGAGGCUGAAAGUAGUCCGCUCGACCAAUCGUGGAGCGCGUGAUGAAAUAGUAAUUUGCUGAUGGACCGGCUAGUUCGGCGUAGUAAUACAUCAUUGCGCUGACGCGAGUCGCGCGCAGCGAUACGAUUCGAAUCCGCAAUUCUGUUCAUUCUUCGUCCAUAAAGUCUCGGGUUGAGUCGAUCUGAGACUCCGGAGUUUGUCUGUGUUGCGAGCCUCAUAAUCCGUGUUUGAAAAUAUUUGCCUGCUAAGUGAGAGACGGAAAAGUGACUUUACUCCGAAAUCAAUCUUUAACAAUAACUCUCGACUUCAUUCUUUUACGCGUUGCUGUACCAAAGCGUUAGUUUGUUACCGAUCACGGCUAUCAAACUCACAGUCAGUGUAUCGUGUGUUAAUGCAAUUAACGGUCCUCGCUAACUCGAGUAAAUUCAGUGAUCGAUUUUUUCGGACAGCUGUGUUACGGACGUUUCAAACAAUUUGUGCCGACUAUGCGGUGAGCUGGCAAAAGGAGUGAAGUAGUAUUUCGGUGUUGAGUUCGGACGUGUGCCGAGAGUCAGCAUCAACGUUUCGGAGCCUUGUGUUUAUUUGAGGGACUCGGGCCCCCCUUACGGGACAGUACAGCCAAGGAAAGUCGUUGUCGGUGAUGUAUGGAGUGGUAUUGUACGUAAUAAAUUCAGGUUCAGGUAUCUCUUCGAUGACCGGGACCGGGACCACCUUUCCGUGUCCGAUCUCGACCUGUUCCAAGAGAAGGUCUUCCGAUACGUCCGGAGCUCGUUGGUGGAGAACGAUUCCUCUCGGUCGGCCGGCUCGAGUAACGGUGAAAAGGAUCGCACGGUCAGAGCGUAAAGAUUCCCGCGUUCGUUCCUGACACCGGGAAGUCUGGCUUCUAUUUCGGCCUUACUGUUUUCUCGGACGUGUCUACCGGCUCUAUCACGAGGCUCGAUGCGCGUUGAGGAGGGUUUUGGCAUCUACGGGUAAAGGAGAGAUGGAUUUAAUCAAGGCAAUGCUAGUUUUGCAAGGGGAAACAGGAGGCAGGAAUAUAUCAAGAUGGCCGCCGUGGUGUUUGUUUCUCCGCAUGGGUGGUUCACGAACUGGGCUGCCUGCUGUCUCCGAUCAACCGUGUAUGCGCGGUUGCUUGACUCGAAAAGUGUAGGCGGAUGACGUGUGUGUGCGAUUGCCUGACUGGAGGAUUGUAGGCGCGCGAUCUCUGAUGCGUUUCUGCAGCUUUUAGGCGUACACAAAAUCUAUUCCGUGUGACGGACAUCCGGAAGAUGCCACAUUUGAAUGGUACGUUCGAGGCGGGGUUGAAGUUAUGAAUUUGAAAAGUUCCGAAAGUGCGUAAUUACGAGUUAGUUGGUGGCGAAACGAAACUCGAGGGGAAGAAAUCAACCUUAUACGAAACAACAAAGUUGGGAAUUGUUGCAAGCCCGAUCGCUCAAAAUUCCAAAAUUCACGGUUCUCAAAAUUAAAGAUACGAUAAAGUAAUGUUCCGAAAAGUAAAGUUCCGAUAGAGCAAAACAUCCGAAAAAUGCAGUUUUGAUUGAGUAAAAUUCUGGAAAUUAAAAUAAAACCGCA